rnacentral:rRNA from 1 species
UACGUAGGGGGCAAGCGUUGUCCGGAUUUAUUGGGCGUAAAGAGCGUGUAGGCGGCCAGACAGGUCAGCUGUGAAAACUCGAGGCUCAACCUCGAGACGUCGGUUGAAACCGUCUGGCUAGAGUCCGGAAGAGGAGAGUGGAAUUCCUGGUGUAGCGGUGAAAUGCGCAGAUAUCGGGAAGAACACCCGUGGCGAAGGCGGCUCUCUGGGACGGUACUGACGCUGAGACGCGAAAGCGUGGGGAGCGAACAGG